rnacentral:rRNA from 1 species
CAGCCGCCGCGGUAAAACGGAGGGAGCUAGCGUUGUUCGGAAUUACUGGGCGUAAAGCGCACGUAGGCGGCUUUGUAAGUUAGAGGUGAAAGCCUGGAGCUCAACUCCAGAAUUGCCUUUAAGACUGCAUCGCUUGAAUCCGGGAGAGGUGAGUGGAAUUCCGAGUGUAGAGGUGAAAUUCGUAGAUAUUCGGAAGAACACCAGUGGCGAAGGCGGCUCACUGGACCGGCAUUGACGCUGAGGUGCGAAAGCGUGGGGAGCAAACAGGAUUAGAUACCCGCGUAGUCCCUGUCUCUUAUAC